rnacentral:rRNA from 1 species
AUUGAACGCUGGCGGAAUGCUUUACACAUGCAAGUCGAGCGGCAGCGCGGGGCAAACCUGGCGGCGAGCGGCGAACGGGUGAGUAAUGCAUCGGAACGUACCCAGUCGUGGGGGAUAACUGUCCGAAAGGACAGCUAAUACCGCAUACGUCCUGAGGGAGAAAGCGGGGGAUCGCAAGACCUCGCGCGAUUGGAGCGGCCGAUGCCGGAUUAGCUAGUUGGUAGGGUAAAGGCCUACCAAGGCGACGAUCCGUAGCUGGUCUGAGAGGACGACCAGCCACACUGGAACUGAGACACGGUCCAGACUCCUACGGGAGGCAGCAGUGGGGAAUUUUUGGACAAUGGGCGCAAGCCUGAUCCAGCCAUGCCGCGUGAGUGAAGAAGGCCUCGGUUGU